UAGUCCACGCCGUAAACGAUGAUUACUCGAUAUACAAUUUAUUGUGUGUCCAAGCGAAAGCAUUAAGUAAUCCACCUGGGAAGUACGUGCGCAAGCAUAAAACUCAAAGGAAUUGACGGGGGUCCGCACAAGCGGUGGAGUAUGUGGUUUAAUUCGAUGAUACGCGAGGAACCUUACCUGGGCUAAAUGUUGCUGACAGCACAAGAAAUUGUGUCUUCCUUCGGGACAGUGUACACGGUGCUGCAUGGCCGUCGUCAGCUCGUGCCGUGAGGUGUUGGGUUAAGUCCCACAACGAGCGUAACCCCUAUACUUAGUUGCCAGCAUGUAAUGAUGGGGACUCUAGGUAGACUGCCUGCGCAAGCAGUGAGGAAGGAGGGGACGAGGUCAGGUCAUCAUGGCCCUUAUGCCCAGGGCUACACACGUACUACAAUGGCGUAUACAGUGGGCAGCUACUUGGUAACAAGAUGCAAAUCUCAAAAGUACGUACUCAGUUCGGAUUG
rnacentral:rRNA from 1 species